rnacentral:rRNA from 1 species
UAUUACCGCGGCUGCUGGCACGUAGUUAGCCGGUGCUUCUUCUGACAGUACCGUCAUUAGUCACGGGUAUUAUCCGUAACCGUUUCUUCCCGUCUGAAAGAGCUUUACAACCCGAAGGCCUUCUUCACUCACGCGGCAUGGCUGGAUCAGGCUUUCGCCCAUUGUCCAAAAUUCCCCACUGCUGCCUCCCGUAGGA